AGGAGGAUUGGCAGCAGAUGUUAGCUCAGGGCUAAUCUUCCUCAAAAAAAAAAAAAAGUCAAUAUGGUGUCUGCCAUUAUGCUGUGGGAGCGCUGGGGAAGGGACAGCACUGGGUUCCGUUCAGCUGUUGAGUCACAAGGGAAUGAUGAGAAGAUUGGGAAGGCUGCACAGAGGAGGGAAAGGGUCUUGCAGGAUGAGUAGAGGUUCACCAAGGGCUGAAGAGUUGGAGGGACAGUAGGAGCAGAGGCCCAGAAGAGGGUCAGUGUAUGACAUGUCCAGUGUGGCCAGAGUGCAGAGGUGGCCGUAGCCGAAGCUGAAAGUUUAAGAGCUUGGGCGGUGGGUGAGGCCUUAGUCCUAGUUCAUCUUAUUUCCACCUGUGUUAUUGGUAUUGUGGUUUUGUCACCUGCUCACGGGGAUGGGACUGGCACCUACGUGGGAGGGGCACUGAAGGAUGGAGGUGUGCGCUGUCUCUGACUUAAAGGCGCUCAUGAACGUUUGCAGUGGGCGUUACCUCUGGGCUGGUUGUGAAGCAGUUGACUGUCAUUCUGACAGUUUCAGACAGAGAAGUGGUGGGCGAUUAGAUGCGUCCUGUGACCCUGUUCAUCCCCAAAGGAAGGUCUCCAUCCUCUUCACGGCUUAUGCUGAGGAGCUGCUGCGCUCCCACUGUGCGUGUAUCUUUGGACAUGACCCUUUGGGUGCCCGUGUGUUCAUAGAAGAGGAAGCAGGAAACGACGAGGUGUGUCGGGAGCUGUACUGAGUUUUAUAAUGGUGGUUGGGGAGAAAUCAGAGUAUUGGGUUUUCGUCUCGACUCUAUUAUUAGCUUACCAUGUGACUGUGGAAGGUCACACGUCAUCUCCUCCUUCGCCAUCUGAGGUCUGUUUCUCCUCCUAAUGUUCUGAUUGGUGGGAGCCGAUGGGGGUAGUCCACUGAGGCCACUUGCUCCCUGGAGCCCAUCUGAAGGGUUAAAGGAGAUGUGGCCAAGCGUGGCAGGUAGCAAAUAAUCAAUAAUCUCUUUCCUUUUCUUUUUUUCUGUUCCACUUCCUUCCUCUAGUCUAAACUACUCCCCGUUUUCAGAAUUUAAUGUAUUCCUGUCCUUUUAUUUCUUUUCCCCAUGAGGCAAAAGGAAGUUCCAGGUUCUGCUACUUCCUGAUUAGCUGAUCUCGGACAAGCCACCCUGGCGAGCCUUAGCCGUUCAUCUGUGAUAUUUGUCUGGACCUCAUGCUGAAAAGAGAGCAGUUGACUCCCAGGAACAGGGUUUCUCCAGCAAGCUCUGUGCGACAUCCCUGCAUCACUGUCACCCAGGGACCUGUGGAGUAGACCCCGCCCCAGGCCUUCUGAUCAGAAUUGCUGCCUGAUCUUUUGACCAGAAAGAAAUUAAAAAGAUACCUGUCAUGCUGGCUGCGCCCGUCAGCUGCAUGCAGCUUCGUUCAAGGAUUUUUGGAGCCCUGUGGAUUUACAGUGAUACUCGGCCGCCUGGGGGAUCACGCUGGUGGACGCAUUCUCUGGAAUUAAGUAUCCCGGCACAUUUCUGGAUGCUGAAGGUGGUUUUAAGGAAGGCCCCGGCUGAGCACCUUGUGGAUCCCUGCAGCCUGGACGCCUGUGGGGGACAGAGGACUGAGCUCUCUGUCCUUCUCUCGGACUGAAAUGUUCGGUUGGGUCCCUGCCAGCUCCCUUGGGGGCUCCCUAUGAAACAAUCCUGUUACACCUGGGAUUUAGGUGCCUUCAAUCUGGAAAAAAUACAUAUCCGUUCAGCACUCCAGAGGGACUUCAGAGCUGUCCUUCCCUGAACUAAAGCUGGAGUAUUUUAGGAUUUGGAGAAUUAAGUUUCUUUGUAGUGGCAAAGUGGAGUUCACUGGACAUUUCCCCCAGUCAAAAGUAGAUGACCUGUGCUGAAGAUGAAGCUAAAGAGAAUCUUGGAAAGAACUCGACAGUUCUUUGGACAUCACCAUGUGAGGGAAACUGAGGCCCAGAGAGGUGAAGCAUGGUCCAAGGCCACACAGCCAGUUGGAGGUGAGGAAACUACUGCUCAGAGAUGUGAAAUAACUCAGCAGAGGUCACACAGCUAAUAAGUGACAAACAGGAAUGUCCAAGCAGUGAAGGUCAUUUCCAGUCGCCGAGUCUUUCACAAGCCCAUGUCUGGACCGGGACAUCUCAUGUCUCAUCGUGAGCAGGAGACUGGAAAAUAACUGGCCGGAGGGGAUAGGCCCAGCAGUAACACUGGCCCAGAGAGAAUUGAGUGCUUUUUCCCGGUGACAAGAAGACACACGCAGCUGGAAAAAGGAGCCUAGGCCGUCACCAUGUUCCCCAAAUAGCAGAACACCUCCCUCCUUCCCACCUUCUCUCCCGUGGCACAGAAUACGUUUUACCAGGGAUCGGUCACUGCUGAGCUGUCGUCACUUAAUGUGGCUUUGACAGAAUAGUUGGUCUGGAAAUCUUAUUUUCAAUUAAAUGACCUUAUUGAACUGCCUUGGUUUUGAAAAGAUUCCAUUAGGAUGGCUAAUUAUAUAGCAGUUGCUCCAAGGAGAUGCUGGCACUCCAUUUCAGCUCUUAAGUAAUUCGAAUCAAAUGCUGUCUUCUUUCCUCCUUGGAGCUGUGAGCGACCGUCUUCCUCUCACACUGCAGGCUUCUCGUGAGUUAUUUUUGGAAAUCCAAGUCAAAACAGCAAUUUUGGCAGAGGCCAUUUCUAGCCUAGCAGAGUAAACCGUAUGUACUGAUAAAAACAGCCGAAGAGUCAGUGCCUUUAAAAAGCAACUAAACCAUCUCCUUCUGUGGGGGUUAAAUUUGGGGGACCUCCAAACUGUCCUUUGUACUGUCCUAUUCCUUCGUGAGCUCUAACUGAAGUCAAAGACAUUGGAAUUCCUUUAAGAUUAGCAAAGCUUUGUCCGUUUGCAAACUGUCAUCAUGGUCAUUUUGUUUCAAGGUGGCAGGCCUUGGCAGAAUUUACCAGGCACUCUGUUUUGGCCUCUGGAUCUCCCCUGAAACGUGGAAAUCACUUUCUGUUCCCAUUCUGUGCUGUUUGCUUCUGUCACCAGAGCACUCGCGACAUUCCUCGCGACAUUCCUCGUUACGCAUACCAAGCAGUCAGAUCUUCCUGCUCACCCGUUAGAACGGAGCUUCUUGUGGCCAGGGGCUGUGUUUUUCAUCUUAUUUCCUUCCUGGCCCAUAAUAGAUGCUCAAAUAGUUGGAUGAAUAGAUAGACUAGAUAGAUGAAUGAAUAGAAUCCUAUUUCUAUUUUUCUCCUUUUU